AUGGUGCUUCAAAUGUUCUUAUUAAAGAUCGGAGUAUCACGGACAUGCUUCGGGAUAGCAUUGACAUGGUCUUCAAGCAAAAGUCGGACUUCGGAUACACAAAGGAUCCAUCAAGAUAAACUUAUUAAACAAGGCAUUCAAUUUCCUCAUGGAAAAAUGAUUAACCUUGUUAAAAAAGAAACUAUAACACUAGGUCCUCUGGUCAGGUGUGCUAGGCAUGGCAUCACCUUACCGGGGCAUAUAGGGACCAAUGUUAUAACUCUUGAAAAUAUGUCCCAACCAUCAUAUUCGGCCGAGAUUCAAAUCUGA
rnacentral:rRNA from 1 species